rnacentral:rRNA from 4 species
UUGAGUUUGAUCCUGGCUCAGGAUGAACGCUGGCGGCGUGCCUAAUACAUGCAAGUCGAGCGAAUGGAUUAAGAGCUUGCUCUUAUGAAGUUAGCGGCGGACGGGUGAGUAACACGUGGGUAACCUGCCCAUAAGACUGGGAUAACUCCGGGAAACCGGGGCUAAUACCGGAUAACAUUUUGAACCGCAUGGUUCGAAAUUGAAAGGCGGCUUCGGCUGUCACUUAUGGAUGGACCCGCGUCGCAUUAGCUAGUUGGUGAGGUAACGGCUCACCAAGGCAACGAUGCGUAGCCGACCUGAGAGGGUGAUCGGCCACACUGGGACUGAGACACGGCCCAGACUCCUACGGGAGGCAGCAGUGGGAAUCUUCCGCAAUGGACGAAAGUCUGACGGAGCAACGCCGCGUGAGUGAUGAAGGCUUUCGGGUCGUAAAACUCUGUUGUUAGGGAAGAACAAGUGCUAGUUGAAUAAGCUGGCACCUAACUACGUGCCAGCAGCCGCGGUAAUACGUAGGUGGCAAGCGUUAUCCGGAAUUAUUGGGCGUAAAGCGCGCGCAGGUGGUUUCUUAAGUCUGAUGUGAAAGCCCACGGCUCAACCGUGGAGGGUCAUUGGAAACUGGGAGACUUGAGUGCANAAGAGGAAAGUGGAAUUCCAUGUGUAGCGGUGAAAUGCGUAGAGAUAUGGAGGAACACCAGUGGCGAAGGCGACUUUCUGGUCUGU